UCUUCAAUCUAGGACACAUCUAUCUCAAUAGUUAUAUUCAUUUGCUCAAAACCCAGGAUUCAUGCUUGUCUAAGCAGGACAUGGGAUUUAGCUGACAUAUGCUCAAUCAGAAAUUUGUCCCAAAGUUACAUGUUGCCACACUGAAGGGUCAAAGAGAAGUACAAGGGUAGAGUCCCAACUUUGGAGAAGGUCUGCUGAGUCAGUAACUCUUCCUCUUCAGUAGCCAAUAAAAGGAGUUGCUUUGUCAUCCCAAAACACGAGCUCUUCGUUGCUGAUUCAUACAUGACAAAGGGCAAUAGGCUUUUUUUACUCCACAGGGUCAAAUCCCUGCAGCAAUGAACGGAUUAUGCAUAUAGCCAGAAGCAGUUCCUUGACCCUCCAUUGAACCUAAGUCCUAGGCGCUGUUUUGGACCUGGGCCACGGCAGGUCCAGCAGGUCAGUGCCCUGUGGAUGUCAGUGUCCCUCGCUGCCCUGGGAAUGGGCUUGUGGCCACGUAGGAGCCUGAGACAAGGACAGCUGCCUAACCUGUAGCCACCACUUCUCAUGGAACCCACUUUGGUAGCCUCCCAAUUGGCCUCCAGUCUCUGCGAUCCACCCUCCACAAGCUUCAAAAACCAACUCAGCGGAUCACUCUUGGAUUCUUUAUAACAUUAGGGCCUUUCUUUUUUCUCCAGAAUAAAACAGAAUCCCCUCAUGCUGGCAUUUCAGGCUUUUCCCCUCCCAAUUUCAUCGAUGGAGAGGCCCUCUCUUAAGUCAGAAUGGCUUCCUUUUGGUCCCCGCAGGCCAG